AAACUGGCAGGCUUGAGUCUUGUAGAGGGGGGUAGAAUUCCAGGUGUAGCGGUGAAAUGCGUAGAGAUCUGGAGGAAUACCGGUGGCGAAGGCGGCCCCCUGGACAAAGACUGACGCUCAGGUGCGAAAGCGUGGGGAGCAAACAGGAUUAGAUACCCUGGUAGUCCACGCCGUAAACGAUGUCUACUUGGAGGUUGUGCCCUUGAGGCGUGGCUUCCGGAGCUAACGCGUUAAGUAGACCGCCUGGGGAGUACGGCCGCAAGGUUAAAACUCAAAUGAAUUGACGGGGGCCCGCACAAGCGGUGGAGCAUGUGGUUUAAUUCGAUGCAACGCGAAGAACCUUACCUGGUCUUGACAUCCACGGAAG
rnacentral:rRNA from 1 species